GCCGGGCACGAUGGCGGCCGGGCCGGGGCCGUGGCUGCUGGCCUUGGCCUUGGCCUUGUGGCCCGCAGCAGUCACUGGACAGAUGACCUUGGAGCAGCACCCCAGGGAAGUGACCGUGCAAGAGGGAAAUGCAGUCACCUUUGAGUGCAGCAUGAGGGGAGGUGAUAUGAGCAACUACUACAUGUACUGGUACCGUCAGGGCCCACGGGGCACUCUGGAAUGGAUUUACCAUGAGGAUGGUAUCUAUGGAGAAGGUUUCCAAGGACACUUUGUGGGAUCAGUGGAGAGUUCCAGGACCACACUGCAGAUCCUGUCAGCAAAGCAAGGGGACUCAGCAACGUAUUACUGUGGAGCAAGAAUCACCCUGGAGCAGCUCUGCAGCAGAGUGAACCAAAAACCAACAGAUGGGGAAGACAGAUCUCAGCACGUCUUCCUAGCAGCUGCUCCCCGGGCUCCUGUCAGGCACUGGCAGGUGCAGGAAACAUCCCUCUGGCUUGGUGGCACUAAAAGGCAGUAGAGGAAGAAGGGCUGGUGCCGGUUAUGGUGCAGGAGGAUCUGUUCUGGGAGCUGCAGAGGCUCUUUGGGGAAGUGCAGCUUUAGUGCACCUUGCCUGGGGUCCUGUCCAGCACAGCCUCGUUUCUCCUCUGUGCAUUGGCUUCAGAGCCGUGGGAU